AUGCACGCUGGCGGCGUGCCUCAUACAUGCAAGUCGAGCGAACGGACGAGAAGCUUGCUUCUCUGAUGUUAGCGGCGGACGGGUGAGUAACACGUGGAUAACCUACCUAUAAGACUGGGAUAACUUCGGGAAACCGGAGCUAAUACCGGAUAAUAUUUUGAACCGCAUGGUUCAAAAGUGAAAGACGGUCUUGCUGUCACUUAUAGAUGGAUCCGCGCUGCAUUAGCUAGUUGGUAAGGUAACGGCUUACCAAGGCAACGAUGCAUAGCCGACCUGAGAGGGUGAUCGGCCACACUGGAACUGAGACACGGUCCAGACUCCUACGGGAGGCAGCAGUAGAGAAUCUUCCGCAAUGGGCGAAAGCCUGACGGAGCAACGCCGCGUGAGUGAUGAAGGUCUUCGGAUCGUAAAACUCUGUUAUUAGGGAAGAACAUAUGUGUAAGUAACUGUGCACAUCUUGACGGUACCUAAUCAGAAAGCCACGGCUAACUACGUG
rnacentral:rRNA from 1 species